CCGGCGCUAAAACCGUAGUCCAUCCCCCUGGGACCCGGAGGGAGCCCUUCUAUUAAUAGAUACCAUUUCUGGAUUUGGAAAGGGGCCCUACCCUAACUGGGUUCAGUCUAUAGACCUCGAAGCUCCUAGGCCACAAUGGCUCCUUUAUCGACCUACCGCAGUCUUUAAAAAAAUCUCUACUGGGCUGGGCGCGGUGGCUCACGCCUGUAAUCCCAGCACUUUGGGAGGCCGACGGGGGGUGGAUCACCUGAGGUCAGAAGUUCGCGUCCAGGCUGGCCAACAUGGUGAAACCCCGUCUGUACUAAAAAUACAAAAAGUUAGCCGGACGUGGUGGCGCAUGCCUGUAAUCCCAGCUACUUGGGAGGCUGAGGCAGGAGAAUCGCUUGAAUCCGGGAGGUGGAGGUUGCAGUGAGCCGAGAUCGUGCCGUUGCACUCCAGCCUGAGCAACAGAGCGAGACUCUGUCUAAAAAAUAAGAUAAAAUAAAUCUCUACUGCUGUGCUUGCUCUGUGAGAAAAGACCUGGUUUGUUUAGAACCAUCCUUCCUCCUAGCACUUCUAGUUUGUUAAGGCCUGCAAUCUCUCAAGCUUGAUGCUUUCACGCUGUGCCCAGACGUUCAAGAGCCUCAGCUUCUGUGAGCCACCAGGCCGAACAUUGCUGUGCUCUGUAGUAGAGGACUUAAUCCUGACCUUGGAAGGGAUCUCAUGAAGCAAAUAUUCGUCAGUUUUCCACUUUCUCUUUUCCUGUGUUAGAUUCUUGCCUUUAGCUUUAUAAUAGUGGACAAGUCUCCCAUUGCAAUAAAAAUAACUGCUGAUUCUUCAACUCCUCA